AUUGAACGCUAACGGCAUGCUUAACACAUGCAAGUCGAACGGCAGCACAGCAGUAGCAAUACUGUGGGUGGCGAGUGGCGGACGGGUGAGUAAUGUAUAGGAAUCUGCCUUGUAGUGGGGGAUAACCUGGGGAAACUCGGGCUAAUACCGCAUAAUCUUUACGAAGCAAAGCGGGGGAUCGUAAGACCUUGCGCUAUAAGAUGAGCCUAUAUUGGAUUAGCUAGUUGGUGGGGUAAAGGCCUACCAAGGCGACGAUCCAUAGCUGGUCUGAGAGGAUGAUCAGCCACACUGGGACUGAGACACGGCCCAGACUCCUACGGGAGGCAGCAGUGGGGAAUAUUGGACAAUGGGGGAAACCCUGAUCCAGCAAUGCCGUGUGUGUGAAGAAGGCCUUCGGGUUGUAAAGCACUUUUAGUGGGAAAGAAAAGCUCAAAGCUAAUAACUUUGAGCCUUGACGUUACCCACAGAAAAAGCACUGGCUAACUCUGUGCCAGCCGCCGCGGUAA
rnacentral:rRNA from 1 species